rnacentral:rRNA from 2 species
UGAGGUGAUUAAGCGCAGAGGUCACACCCGUUCCCAUCCCGAACACGGCCGUUAAGCUCUGUUGCGCCGAUGGUACUGCACUGUGGGAGAGUAGGUUGUUGCCUCAU